rnacentral:rRNA from 1 species
UACGGGGGGGGCAAGCGUUGUUCGGAAUUACUGGGCGUAAAGGGCGCGUAGGCGGUUUGCUAAGUUGGAUGUGAAAACUCUGGGCUUAACCCAGAGCCUGCAUCCAAAACUGGCAAACUUGAGUACUGGAGGGGAAAGCGGAAUUCCUGGUGUAGCGGUGAAAUGCGUAGAUAUCAGGAGGAACACCGGUGGCGAAGGCGGGUAGCUGGGCCGACACUGACGCUGAGGCGCGAAAGCUAGGGGAGCGAACGGG